rnacentral:rRNA from 1 species
CAUGCAAGUCGAACGGCAGCACAGAAGAGCUUGCUCUUUGGGUGGCGAGUGGCGGACGGGUGAGUAAUGUCUGGGAAACUGCCCGAUGGAGGGGGAUAACUACUGGAAACGGUAGCUAAUACCGCAUAACGUCGCAAGACCAAAGUGGGGGACCUUCGGGCCUCACACCAUCGGAUGUGCCCAGAUGGGAUUAGCUAGUAGGUGGGGUAAUGGCUCACCUAGGCGACGAUCCCUAGCUGGUCUGAGAGGAUGACCAGCCACACUGGAACUGAGACACGGUCCAGACUCCUACGGGAGGCAGCAGUGGGGAAUAUUGCACAAUGGGCGCAAGCCUGAUGCAGCCAUGCCGCGUGUAUGAAGAAGGCCUUCGGGUUGUAAAGUACUUUCAGCGGGGAGGAAGGCGGUGAGGUUAAUAACCUCGCCGAUUGACGUUACCCGCAGAAGAAGCACCGGCUAACUC